GGAGGCGUGCCCGAAUGGCUAAGGGGCCGGUCUCGAAAACCGGUGGUGCUCAGCACCUUCUGGGUUCGAAUCCCAGCGCCUCCGCCA
rnacentral:tRNA from 2 species